UACGUAGGGGGCAAGCGUUGUCCGGAAUCAUUGGGCGUAAAGAGCGCGUAGGCGGCUUGGUAAGCCGGAUGUGAAACCCCCGAGCUCAACUCGGGGCGGCCAUUCGGAACUGCCAUGGCUAGAGUCUGGUAGGGGAACACGGAAUACCUGGUGUAGCGGUGAAAUGCUUAGAUAUCAGGUGGAACACCAGUGGCGAAGGCGGUGUUCUGGGCCGAUACUGACGCUGAGGAGCGAAAGCGUGGGGAGCAAACAGGGAUUAGAACUACC
rnacentral:rRNA from 1 species